rnacentral:rRNA from 1 species
CGACCAGACUCCUACGGGAGGCAGCAGCGGGGAAUAUUGCACAAUGGGGGAAACCCUGAUGCAGCGACGCCGCGUGAAGGAAGAAGGAUUUCGGUAUGUAAACUUCUAUCAGCAGGGAAGAAAAUGACGGUACCUGACUAAGAAGCCCCGGCUAACUACGUGCCAGCAGCCGCGGUAAUACGUAGGGGGCAAGCGGUAUCCGGAUUUACUGGGUGUAAAGGGAGCGUAGACGGCAGUGCAAGUCCGGAGUGAAAGCCCGGGGCUCAACCCUGGGACUGCUCUGGAAACUGUAAAGCUGGAGUGCGGGAGGGGCAGGCGGAAUUCCUGGUGUAGCGGUGAAAUGCGUAGAUAUCAGGAGGAACACCGGCGGCGAAGGCGGCCUGCUGGACCGUAACUGACGUUGAGGCUCGAAAGCGUGGGGAGCAAACAGGAUUAGAUACCCGAGUAUU